rnacentral:rRNA from 1 species
GACGAACGCUGGCGGCGUGCUUAACACAUGCAAGUCGAGCGGACAGGCGCCUAUGGGGGUCCUCGGGCGGCGAACGGGGGCGUAACACGUGCGUAACCUGCCCUUGCCUUCGGGAUAACGUUAGGUAACUGGGGCCAAUACUGGUUAGGGAUCAUAGCUGCAACGGGGGGGUUGGAAAGCGUCGGAGGUUUUGGGUGGCCUCGAGGGGUAUCGGCUUGUCGGGGGGGUAGUGGCUUACCAAGGCGAUGACGGGUAGCCGGCCUGAGUGGCCGACCGGCCACAUUGACACUGAGGGACGGCACAGACAGCGACGGGAGGCAGCAGUGGGGAAUAUUGCACGAUGAGCGGAGGCCUGAUGCAGCAGCGCCGCGUGCGGGAUGACGGCCUUCGGGUUGUAGACCGCUUUCGUCAGGGGCGAAGCUUGUGUUGACGGUACCUGCAGAGGAAGCACCGGCUAACUACGUG